rfam:Anaerosporobacter mobilis DSM 15930 genome assembly, contig: EJ17DRAFT_scaffold00001.1
UAGCGAAACACUUUAGUACUUCUUAGUGUGUACUAAGUAGAGUAGGAAGGCGAGGCAUGGAAGCCGAGCCAGCCUGAGCUGAGGCAGGAUGCCGAAUCGAAGGUGGUUCCGUAAUAUUUGAUAGCACUCGGUACACACUUAGAAGUACUUAAGUGCGUAGCGU